AUUUACACCGACACAACGGACAGCGCCUCCCUGGUCCGUUCGGUCGCAAGGAUGUCGUUCCGUUGCACGGACGGCAAGCGAUGCAACCGGAUGGGCACGGAAGCGAGCGGCAACAUGGAGCAGUAACAGAUCGUGGCUGCGGGCGACGGGGCCAACACGCCGUCGUCCUGUCUUCCGUGAGUGGAUCCAGCGUGUGGAACCAGCGGACGCGCGAUGCGGGCGCUCGAUCCUCGGGAUGCGGCGUGGAGUCUCCGGCGCUCUCGCUGCUCCCGGCCGCACUAGCGCCUCCGCGCGGGAUGCGACGGAGUCUCCGGCGCUCUCCCUGCUCGCUGCUCUGUCGCUUCGCCCAUCAUGCAGCUGCCCCGCGCUCCACUCCCUCCAACAGCGCAUAGCACUGCCCUCUCCUAGAAACGCUCUGCCACCUCCUUGCCUACCCUCCUCCAUUGGCCAUCCACGUCUUGGCCACAAGCGCCCUGCCCUGCCGUUUUCCUGGCCUGUCCACACACCUAAGCCCUUCCACGCUUCACGCCCACGGUGCCGGAGACACGCUAACCUGGUAUGUGUACGAUAGCGGCAUACACAAUUCUGAAUUUUUUGUAAUUUACAAUAUUCAGGUUUGUUCAUCUUGUAUAAUUGUUCCCAUGUUCAAUACCAAUGUCUGCUAUUUUCUACGGUGUACACAUUUUGCUCUCGGUUCUAAGCUAUCCAAGGCAAUGGACUUUUUCCGGCCAUGUUUCAGAAAGAAGGUACAUAUAAUUGCAAAUCUUACUACACAGUGCAAACGAGUGUAUUGGAGCAAGGUCUUAGAUAUGGAGUAAGCAGAUUCCUGAAAUAAUGAGUUUUCUGAACCAUGAAAAUUUACGAACACAAAUCGGUCUUCUUCCUCUUUUCCUUUCCCCGCAGCAGGCGGUGGUAGAGAUUGGCAUUUGCCGGUGGCGACAACGAGGAGGAGGCAACUUCAAUGAUGACGUAUGGUGGCUGCGGCGGCGGUGUGUGUGAGGGGAAUGAGGCCACGACGACGGAUCCAACAUGAUAAGUUCCUUCUCAGCCCCUCCCUUGUUUGCUAGCACCACCGCACCCUUCUCCUCUUGUAGGUUCCCCUUGCUUCUAUAGGUCAACUGGUUUUCUCUGGUCCUGUUGAUUGAUUUGGUUAGCUUUAGCUAGCUCUGUUCAUGCCAUUAAUACUGAGUGAGACUCUUACCAGUGGUGAUAUGUUUAUUUGAUUUAGCAGGGCCUGGUGAUGAUGGCCUUCUUCAGGAUGCGUGAACCUCUGAUGUUGAUGGUCAAGAAGGCAACGACCACAUGACAACAAUGCAAACAAGUGAACCAGAGGCUCCUAUUGCGGACGCUACAAGAAUGUUUUUUUAGUAAAUCUGAAACAGCCAUUUACGCAUUAUUAGCUAUUCAUAUUUUCUAUUAUCUAUUAUAUUUUUAGUUGUGUGAGUGCUCAUUGGCUGCUUUCCCACUAUAUACUGUAGGAGGGUGAUAAUGCAAGUACAUCCUUGUGAUAGCUAAUUAGGCAUAAACCCAUGUCCAUGCAAUACAAAUUGUUUGCUUUGUGCCAGCUUUUGGAGAGGAGACGGGCGUGGGUGAUCUUAAUGAUUUUUGAGACAUGGUAAAUCCCAACCUAUCUCUUGCCGUUGUCGUUCCUGAUCUGGCAACCUCUUUAAUUAAAUCCCAACCCAAUACUACUUGAUUCGGUGGUUAUUUGCUAUUUAUAAUUAAAUUCGGUCAACGUGGUCUCUCUCUUCUACAUGGAUUCCAUUUCCCUUUUUUUCUAAUGAAUGAAAAGAAAAAGGGGGUAGCAUAAAGAAAAGCUCCUGGACCAGAAUUUUGUACUUUUUUCCUUCUUAUGAAGUACAUUGGAAUGUCAUUAUUUGUUUUGUCAGUUGUGCUAGUGGAGACUUGAAAAUAUAUGAAUAUAUUUCUCCUCUCUUUC